UACGUAGGGUGCAAGCGUUGUCCGGAAUUAUUGGGCGUAAAGAGCUCGUAGGCGGUCUGUCACGUCUGCUGUGAAAACUCGGGGCUUAACCCCGGGCCUGCAGUGGGUACGGGCAGACUAGAGUGCGGUAGGGGAGACUGGAAUUCCUGGUGUAGCGGUGAAAUGCGCAGAUAUCAGGAGGAACACCGGUGGCGAAGGCGGGUCUCUGGGCCACUACUGACGCUGAGAAGCGAAAGCAUGGGGAGCGAACAGG
rnacentral:rRNA from 1 species